rnacentral:rRNA from 1 species
AGAGUUUGAUCCUGGCUCAGGACGAACGCUGGCGGCGUGCUUAACACAUGCAAGUCGAACGAGGUCCAUCCGAUCUUCGGAUUGGUGAAGACCUAGUGGCGAACGGGUGCGUAACACGUGAGAAACCUGCCCGGUCUCUGGGAUAACAGUUGGAAACGACUGCUAAUACCGGAUGCCGUCGGAUCGUCGCAUGGCGGACCGACGAAAGGGUUACCGGAUCGGGAGGGUCUCGCGGCCUAUCAGCUUGUUGGUGAGGUAACGGCUCACCAAGGCAUCGACGGGUAGCUGGUCUGAGAGGAUGAUCAGCCACACUGGGACUGAGACACGGCCCAGACUCCUACGGGAGGCAGCAGUGGGGAAUAUUGCACAAUGGGCGAAAGCCUGAUGCAGCAACGCCGCGUGCGGGAUGAAGGCCCUAGGGUUGUAAACCGCUUUCAGCAGGGAAGAAAAUGACGGUACCUGUAGAAGAAGGUGCGGCCAACUACGUGCCAGCAGCCGCGGUGACACGUAGGCACCAAGCGUUGUCCGGAUUUAUUGGGCGUAAAGAGCUCGUAGGCGGUUCAGUAAGUCGGGUGUGAAAACUCUGGGCUCAACCCAGAGACGCCACCUGAUACUGCUGUGACUAGAGUGCGGUAGGGGAGCGGGGAAUUCCUAGUGUAGCGGUGAAAUGCGCAGAUAUUAGGAGGAACACCAGUGGCGAAGGCGCCGCUCUGGGCCGUAACUGACGCUGAGGAGCGAAAGCGUGGGUAGCAAACAGGAUUAGAUACCCUGGUAGUCCACGCCGUAAACGUUGGGCACUAGGUGUGGGUCUCAACCAACGAGAUCCGCGCCGUCGCUAACGCAUUAAGUGCCCCGCCUGGGGAGUACGGUCGCAAGGCUAAAACUCAAAGGAAUUGACGG